AUUGAACGCUGGCGGCAGGCCUAACACAUGCAAGUCGAACGGUAACAGGAAGCAGCUUGCUGCUUUGCUGACGAGUGGCGGACGGGUGAGUAAUGUCUGGGAAACUGCCUGAUGGAGGGGGAUAACUACUGGAAACGGUAGCUAAUACCGCAUAACGUCGCAAGACCAAAGAGGGGGACCUUAGGGCCUCUUGCCAUCGGAUGUGCCCAGAUGGGAUUAGCUAGUAGGUGGGGUAACGGCUCACCUAGGCGACGAUCCCCAGCUGGUCUGAGAGGAUGACCAGCCACACUGGAACUGAGACACGGUCCAGACUCCUACGGGAGGCAGCAGUGGGGAAUAUUGCACAAUGGGCGCAAGCCUGAUGCAGCCAUGCCGCGUGUAUGAAGAAGGCCUUCGGGUUGUAAAGUACUUUCAGCGGGGAGGAAGGGAGUAAAGUUAAUACCUUUGCUCAUUGACGUUACCCGCAGAAGAAGCACCGGCUAACUCCGUG
rnacentral:rRNA from 1 species